rnacentral:sRNA from 1 species
GCUGGGCAUGGUGGCGCACACCUGUAAUCGCAGUGUCUGGGAGGCUGAGGUAGGAGGAUCAUGAGUUCAAAGCCAGCCUCAGUAAUUUAGUGAAGCCCUAAGCAACUCAAGGAGACCCUGUCUCUA